CAGAAUCACGGUUGCCAGAGAAACAUCAGCGGGCUUUAGCUGGGGUAGAGCUUAGCAAGUGUUGGGGUAUCAGCAGUUAGUCACUGUUUGCCUGGAACCACAGGAUGUGAAUCCUAGCUCCUGGAUUCCAAGGAAUCCUGCAUCCAGGUGUUUAUUGUGCUUUGCAGAGUCAACAUCAAGCUCAGGAGCUGGUUGCAGACAUAGAUGAGUGUGAAGUUUCUGGCCUGUGCAGGCAUGGAGGGCGAUGCGUGAACACUCAUGGGAGCUUUGAAUGCUACUGUAUGGAUGGAUACUUGCCAAGGAAUGGACCUGAGCCUUUCCACCCGACCACCGAUGCCACAUCAUGCACAGAAAUAGACUGUGGUACCCCUCCUGAGGUUCCAGAUGGCUAUAUCAUAGGAAAUUAUACAUCUAGGCUGGGCAGCCAGGUUCGUUAUGCUUGCAGAGAAGGAUUCUUCAGUGUUCCAGAAGAUACAGUUUCAAGCUGCACAGCCCUGGGCACAUGGGAGUCCCCAAAAUUACAUUGCCAAGAGAUCAACUGUGGCAACCCUCCAGAAAUGCGGCACGCCAUCUUGGUAGGAAAUCACAGCUCCAGGCUGGGCGGUGUGGCUCGCUAUGUCUGUCAAGAGGGCUUUGAGAGCCCUGGAGGAAAGAUCACUUCUGUUUGCACAG
rnacentral:sRNA from 1 species